rnacentral:rRNA from 1 species
UACGUAGGGUCCGAGCGUUGUCCGGAAUUACUGGGCGUAAAGAGCUCGUAGGUGGUUUUGUCGCGUUGUUCGUGAAAACUCACAGCUUAACUGUGGGCGUGCGGGCGAUACGGGCAGACUUGAGUACUGCAGGGGAGACUGGAAUUCCUGGUGUAGCGGUGGAAUGCGCAGAUAUCGGGAGGAACACCCGUGGCGAAGGCGGCACUCUGGGACGGUACUGACGCUGAGACGCGAAAGCGUGGGGAGCAAACAGG